AGGUCCCCAACUGCUGACCAAACUCCAGUCUAGGCAGCCACCUGGCCUGACGCUGGCCUGGCCUUGCUAUUUCAUUUGGCAGCUCCCAAGACCUGAGGGUAGGAAUUCUGGGCAGCUGGGAUCUGCCAGACCAUCCUGCAGCCCCAGCCCACCAUCCAGGGGCCCCCUGCCCCCAUUCCUGUCUGUAUUUGAGAGGACCAUCCCUACCCGGAGCUGGGAUCUGAUGCUUGCUGAUGCCAACAACUGAUACCAGAUGAACUGCAUGCCGUUCUCAUCACAACCCUAGGAAGGAGAUGCCAGCAGUGCCUCCGGACAGUAAGGGAAGAGCCCAAGGCACAGAAGACUAAGGCGUCUACCCCGGAUCACACAGCUAGACUGCAGUCAGAACCCAGGCAGACUCCAGAGUCUGAGGCACCAGCCACUACUCUGCACAGCCCCUCAGAUGCUGCUGUUAGGAGUGAUGAGCCCAGCUAGAGUGACUGUGUGGUUCGACCACAUUCUAAUUUCUCAAAUUACAAAUGAGUGACACAAGGUUAAUUGAGCAUCCACUAUGUGUAGUAUCCUGUGCUAAACUCCAAUGACAUAGAAAUGAGCACAGCAGACGUCAUCCUUGCAUGUAUGGAACUUGUGGACUAUUGGAGGAGAUGAGCCUUAAUAAGAUUAAUGAUCAUCAAAGAUGUUACUCAGUGGUGGGUGCUAUUUGGGAUGGAGCAAUUCACCACUGGCUCCAGACCUGUGGGUGCAAGACUCCUCUGCUGGCCUUCCUCUCCAUUCUACAGGAAACCUGCUGAUGAAGCCUGCGGUCUUCUGAGAGAAGAUCUUCUGAGAGAAGGUCUUCUGAGACCUUCUCUUUCAUAUGACAUGCCCGACCCUGGCUUUCUUCCUCUUGUUAGGCAGUGCUCAAAUGACAAACUUGGAUUUCAGAGGAGUCACAAAACCCAGCUCUGUCAUGUUCUUGGUGCUUUUUGGUAAGUUUUUUUGUCUCCUUACAGUAACAUCAGCCUCCUGUGUUGCUCUACCUCCAAAAAGCCUAGCUGAUAUAGCUCUCUCUGGGUACACUUUCUCAGCCACUUCCGGGGUAGCUCCACUUGUCACUGAUGGGCACUGGCUGUCUCCAGUUCUCUGUUUUCUGAGCUCUCCCGCGUGUUGACUUUUUCCUGACUUCUUUUGCUUCCUGUCUAGGUUAAGCUCAAGACCAUUAUUUUAGCCUCUCUCUGCUUCUCUCCCAGUUUCUCUCCUGACAACACCCCAAGCCAGGAUAGACCUCAGUAUUUUGCUUUCUUCAUGUCUACACCCAGCCGGUCCUUCGUGCUAGAUGGGACCAUGGUCGCUACCAACUUCCACAUAUCCCCUACACCACCCCAAAUCCUUACCCCAGGCUUCCCUUCUUUUCACCUAUUAUUUCCUCUAUUCCAGAAUUUUCUCUCUUUGAACUUUGUCCAUUCUCUUCAUCUUGAAUUUUUUCUAUGCUCUUUGUCAAGAUGCAGCUUUCCCUUCCUCAGAGAAAACUGAAGCCAGGAGCAGACCCUCUAGAAAAGGUGCACACCUGCUUUUCUCCCUGCCCUCCAUCCAGGGGCACCUGUGUCUAUAGCCCCAAUUCUCAGCUCAGAAGCUCACCCACUUUCCUUCCCAGUGCCAGCACCUUGGUUCAAGUCAACCUCAUCUUUCACCUGGAUUACUGAAGUAACUGCUCCUAGCAUCCAGAUGGGCCCUUACCAAAUCUGGCCUUUGACAAUGUAGUCCUCUUUAUCUUCAGUGAAAACUUAACACUGUCAUUCCAGUGACUGGAUCUUAGUGUGCUCCCUGAUGUAGCCCCAAGACUCUUCAUGGUUUGGCCCCUACCUACCUCCCUGACAUGGAUCACCACUCCUGUGCACACGUGCACACACACACACACACACACACGCACGCACGCACGCACGCAUACACGCACACGCAGAGGUGUUUUUUCAGGCCCUGGCAUUGCCAGGCACCCUCUGAGUCCACGGUCCUCUAUUCACACAGCCCUCUCCUCCCUGGAACCCACCCACCUCUUCAUUUUAAAAAGUCUGUUUGACAUGGAUAAUGGGGAAAGCUAUGGAUAUGUGGGAACAAGGAAUAUAUAGGAAAUCUCUGCUCAGUUUUACUGUCAAUCUAAAACUGCUCUCAAACACAAUCUUAAAAAGAAAGCCAUUUUUCUUCAGACCCCCUAUUCCUGUUUAGACUGUGAGCUUCUCAUUCCUAUCCUCCCAGGUAACAUGUCAAUUCUAAUAAAGUGUGUUCAUCUUCUGUUUAUUUUCUGACAGCCAUUCCACUACAAUGACAAGCUCUGGGAACACAGGAACAUUCUAUGGUGCUGGGGAUGGAACCCAGAGCCUGUACAUGCCAGUCAAACACUACCUGGCCCAACACAGGAACAUUCUAGAUCUCAGGGAUAAACAAGCUUUUUCUACAAAAGGCCAGAAUAAGGGACUACCAUGUUCAAGGCUCUGAGUGUUAUCCCCAAUGCCAAACAAGCAAACAAAAAGCAACAACAUUUGAAUUUCUACAGAGUGCUUUGCAACACAGACUUCCACAGCAAUUUCCCUCUGAACACCUAGGACAAGCAUGGUCCUCUCAAGCCUGUCUUUGCUCUGUAGAUCUGCAGGGUCUGAAGCCUCCACUGGGAAUGAACCCAACCUGCUCAUAUCUUGGCCUUGGGCUUGCUCAGAAGUUACCAGAAAAGGGGAAUCUGGAGACCAUCUAGAAUUCCUGCCUGGCAGAGGCCCUCUUCCCAGAAUUGUCUCCACCUUUGUUUACUCCCGCCAGUGAGUUUUUUUCUUCCCCUUCCCUCCCUUCUACCACCUCCUCCCCUUCCUCUUUCUGUUCCUCCUUCAGAAACAGCGUCUCACUCCUAAGCCCAGACUGGCCUCGAACUUGCUUUAUAGGCAGAGCUGGCCUUGAACUUCUGAUCCUCCUGUCUCUACCUCCUGUGUGCUGGGAUUAUAAUGUGUGACUUCAUGCCAGUUUCUGACAUGCUGGGGAUCAAGUUCAGGGUUUCCUGCUUGCUAGGUAAGCACUCUACCAACUGAGUCACAUCCCUAGAUAUAUGGUUUUUAAAAUGUAAUAUUAUAUAUUACAUGGUUUUACAGGAGAAGGAACAAUUUAUUUGUUUGAGACAGGGGUUCAUGUA